UGCGUAGGCUGAUAUAUAGGUGUCCUUUGAAAUCCCCCUGCUCAACAGGGGAAUUGGGGGGGCAAACCAUAUAUCUUGAGGCCGGUAGGGGUGCCUGGAACUCUUGGUGGAGCGGUGGAAUGCGUAGAUAUCAAGAGGAACGCCAGAGGAGAAAUCGGGGCACUGGGCCGGACCUGACGCUGAGGUACGAAAGCAUGGGUAGCGAACG
rnacentral:rRNA from 1 species